rnacentral:rRNA from 1 species
GAUGAACGCUGGCGGCGUGCCUAAUACAUGCAAGUCGAGCGAACAGACGAGGAGCUUGCUCCUUUGACGUUAGCGGCGGACGGGUGAGCAACACGUGGGUAACCUACCUAUAAGACUGGGAUAACUUCGGGAAACCGGAGCUAAUACCGGAUAAUAUUUCGAACCGCAUGGUUCGAUAGUGAAAGAUGGCUUUGCUAUCACUUAUAGAUGGACCUGCGCCGUACUAGCUAGUUGGUAAGGUAACGGCUUACCAAGGCAACGAUACGUAGCCGACCUGAGAGGGUGAUCGGCCACACUGGAACUGAGACACGGUCCAGACUCCUACGGGAGGCAGCAGUAGGGAAUCUUCCGCAAUGGGCGAAAGCCUGACGGAGCAACGCCGCGUGAGUGAUGAAGGUCUUCGGAUCGUAAAACUCUGUUAUUAGGGAAGAACAAACGUGUAAGUAGCUGUGCACGUCUUGACGGUACCUAAUCAGAAAGCCACGGCUAACUACGUG